UACAACCCUGCUUGUUCUUGGGAUUUCAAACAUCGUAUUUUUAUCUUUAGUUGUUUUUCUUGCCAUAAAACUAUGCCAGAAUCAGAAAGAGAGUCAAGGUGAAGACAUUUUGGGUUAUGCGGCUCACAAUUCUUUCAUAGCGAAUGGACUCAAAGUAAAGAUUACUGAAGAACACUCUGUUGUGACAUACGGCAUGUGUAGAGAAAGAAUA